GACAGAGGGUGCAAACGUUGUUCGGAUUUACUGGGCGUAAAGAGCGCGCAGGCGGCUGGCCAAGUCCGAUGUGAAAUCUCCCGGCUUAACCGGGAAACUGCAUCGGAAACUGGUCGGCUUGAAGGUGGGAGAGGGUAGCGGAAUUCCCGGUGUAGUGGUGAAAUGCGUAGAUAUCGGGAGGAACACCAGUGGCGAAGGCGGCUACCUGGCCCAUUCUUGACGCUGAGGCGCGAAAGCUAGGGGAGCGAACGGG
rnacentral:rRNA from 1 species